UACAGGGGGACAACAUCGGGAAACCGGUGCUAAUACCGCAUAACACAUCGAAAUGGAAUCAUAGAGAUGUCAAAGGAGGAAUCCGGUAUAAGAUGGGCCCGCGUCCAAUUAGCUAGUUGGUGAGGUAACGGCUCACCAAGGCGACGAUUGGUAGCCGAACUGAGAGGUUGAUCGGCCACAUUGGGACUGAGACACGGCCCAGACUCCUACGGGAGGCAGCAGUGGGGAAUAUUGCACAAUGGGGGAAACCCUGAUGCAGCAACGCCGCGUGAAGGAUGAAGGUCUUCGGAUUGUAAACUUCUUUGAUUGGGGAAGAAGAAGUGACGGUACCCAAAAAACAAGCCACGGCUAACUACGUGCCAGCAGCCGCGGUAAUACGUAGGUGGCAAGCGUUGUCCGGAAUUACUGGGUGUAAAGGGCGUGUAGGCGGGGAUGCAAGUCAGGUGUGAAAGCCCAUGGCUCAACUGUGGGACUGCAUCUGAAACUGUAUCUCUUGAGUACUGGAGAGGGAAGUGGAAUUCCUAGUGUAGCGGUGAAAUGCGUAGAGAUUAGGAGGAACACCAGUGGCGAAAGGCGGCUUCCUGGACAGUAACUGACGCUGAGGCGCGAAAGCGUGGGGAGCGAACAGGAUUAGAUACCCUGGUAGUCCACGCCGUAAACGAUGGAUACUAGGUGUAGGAGGUAUCGACCCCUUCUGUGCCGGAGUUAACACAUUAAGUAUCCCACCUGGGGAAUACGACCGCAAGGUUGAAACUCAAAGGAAUUGACGGGGGCCCGCACAAGCAGUGGAGUAUGUGGUUUAAUUCGAAGCAACGCGAAGAACCUUACCAGGGCUUGACAUCCCUUGACAGCUCUAGAGAUAGAGUUUCCCUUCGGGGCAAGGAGACAGGUGGUGCAUGGUUGUCGUCAGCUCGUGUCGUGAGAUGUUGGGUUAAGUCCCGUAACGAGCGCAACCCUUAUUGUUAGUUGCCAGCAAGUAAAGUUGGGCACUCUAACGAGACUGCCGGUGAUAAAUCGCAGGAAGGUGGGGAUGACGUCAAAUCAUCAUGCCCCUUAUGUCCUGGGCUACACACGUACUACAAUGGCUGGUACAGAGGGGAGCUAAGCCGCGAGGUGGAGCCAAUCCCCAAAACCAGUCCCAGUUCGGAUUGCAGGCUGCAAUUCGCCUGCAUGAAGUGGGAAUUGCUAGUAAUGGCAGGUCAGCAUACUCCCGUGAAUACGUUCCCGGGCCUUGUACACACCGCCCGUCACACCAUGAGAGUUUGCACACCCGAAGUCA
rnacentral:rRNA from 1 species